CUGCGUUCUUGUUGAUUCUGUGAUCCUGAGUUAAGUCACUUGGCCAAGUACCACUUGGAAACAGCUGAGCCGGGAUGCAGGCAUGAGUCCACCCAGCUGCAAAGCCCGUCCGCUCCCCACCACAUCACCCUGAACAAGGAGAGGGCUCACAGCCCCGGACGGGAGAGGAAAUGAGAGCCAGCUCCUGUCGACUCCAUCAGCGGCUUCCCUCCUUUUCAACCGAGAGCCACCCCCAGAGUCUGGGGUAAGAAACAUUCAUACAACUUCAAAAUAAAAAUAAAUUGCUUGGAUGACCUCCAAAGAGCCAAGUGGGAAGCCCCAUGACCUGAGUGCCCCAGAGAAGCCAUUCUGAGGAGGAUAAUCACAGCCAGGAAUCUCCCUCAGAAGAUGACUACAGACGGAACAGCCAGCAUCCAUACACUCAGUUCAUCUGGAAAUGCUGAGCCAUCCAAGUGUGGCCAGAGUCGCAGGACGUGUGUAGCAAGGACCACGACAGGAUAAAUUACAAGCUAAUCCUCCCCGAGGUCUCAGAUCUGGAUGUUCAAUUGUGGACUUUUCCUCUCAUCAUUUUCUGCCAGCAAGCUGGUCACCGUCACCUCCUAAAAUGCUUUUGUUAGAGUGUGGUCUCUUUUUCUCACACCAAGGGGGCUUUCCGAGUGGUGCUAGCAGUAAAGAACCCGCCAAUGCAGGAGACGCAGGAGACGUGGGUUCGAUCCCUAGAUCAGGAAGAUCCCCUGGAGGAGGGCAUGGCACCCCACUCCCAUAUUCUUGACUCAGAAACCUCAUGGUUGGAGGAGCCUGGUGGGCUACAGUCCAGAGGGUCACAAAGAGUCGGACUCGACUGAAGCAACUUCGAGGGCACCAUAAAUCACUGACCUUUAAUCUCGAAUUAACUAAGAAAUUCUUUGACCUCAGGCCCUGUGGUAAUUAGACACGUCAUCCGGCUUUGAUGGGAAGUUUUCUGUGUCUCUGGGAUCAUCUCAAUAAAUGGCUUGGCAGCUAUGUCCUCUACGUGCCAGGAUGAAAUUAGCUGGAUUUAAGUGUGGCAAUUUGAAGAG
ensembl:lncRNA